rnacentral:pre_miRNA from 1 species
AGCCAGCGUUUGUUUUAUUUGGUAUGUUACUACUGCUGCAAGCUAUAUCAUAAGACACACGCGGCUAU